GACGAACGCUGGCGGCGUGCCUAAUACAUGCAAGUAGAACGCUGAAGGAGGAGCUUGCUCUUCUGGAUGAGUUGCGAACGGGUGAGUAACGCGUAGGUAACCUGCCUGGUAGCGGGGGAUAACUAUUGGAAACGAUAGCUAAUACCGCAUAAGAGUAGAUGUUGCAUGACAUUUGCUUAAAAGGUGCAAUUGCAUCACUACCAGAUGGACCUGCGUUGUAUUAGCUAGUUGGUGAGGUAACGGCUCACCAAGGCGACGAUACAUAGCCGACCUGAGAGGGUGAUCGGCCACACUGGGACUGAGACACGGCCCAGACUCCUACGGGAGGCAGCAGUAGGGAAUCUUCGGCAAUGGACGGAAGUCUGACCGAGCAACGCCGCGUGAGUGAAGAAGGUUUUCGGAUCGUAAAGCUCUGUUGUAAGAGAAGAACGAGUGUGAGAGUGGAAAGUUCACACUGUGAC
rnacentral:rRNA from 1 species